AAAUUGAAGAGUUUGAUCAUGGCUCAGAUUGAACGCUGGCGGCAGGCCUAACACAUGCAAGUCGAACGGUAACAGGAAUCAGCUUGCUGAUUCGCUGACGAGUGGCGGACGGGUGAGUAAUGUCUGGGAAACUGCCUGAUGGAGGGGGAUAACUACUGGAAACGGUAGCUAAUACCGCAUAACGUCGCAAGACCAAAGAGGGGGACCUUCGGGCCUCUUGCCAUCGGAUGUGCCCAGAUGGGAUUAGCUAGUAGGUGGGGUAACGGCUCACCUAGGCGACGAUCCCUAGCUGGUCUGAGAGGAUGACCAGCCACACUGGAACUGAGACACGGUCCAGACUCCUACGGGAGGCAGCAGUGGGGAAUAUUGCACAAUGGGCGCAAGCCUGAUGCAGCCAUGCCGCGUGUAUGAAGAAGGCCUUCGGGUUGUAAAGUACUUUCAGCGGGGAGGAAGGGAGUAAAGUUAAUACCUUUGCUCAUUGACGUUACCCGCAGAAGAAGCACCGGCUAACUCCGUGCCAGCAGCCGCGGUAAUACG
rnacentral:rRNA from 1 species